rnacentral:rRNA from 1 species
UGGGGAAUAUUGCACAAUGGGGAAACCGUAGCAUGCAGCGACGCCGCGUGAAGGAAGAAGUAUUUCGGUAUGUAAACUUCUAUCAGCAGGGAAGAAAAUGACGGUACCUGAGUAAGAAGCACCGGCUAAAUACGUGCCAGCAGCCGCGGUAAUACGUAUGGUGCAAGCGUUAUCCGGAUUUACUGGGUGUAAAGGGAGCGUAGACGGAUAGGCAAGUCUGGAGUGAAAACCCAGGGCUCAACCCUGGGACUGCUUUGGGAACUGCAGAUCUGGAGUGCCGGAGAGGUAAGCGGAAUUCCUAGUGUAGCGGUGAAAUGCGUAGAUAUUAGGAGGAACACCGAGUGGACGAGGCGCUUACUGGACGGUGACUGACGUUGAGGCUCGAAAGCGUGGGGAGCAAACAGGAUUAGAUACCC